GUCCUCAAGCAAAAUUCUCAACUCAUAAUCAAAAUAAAUUCUCCUAAACUUACAAUUCUUAUCGAUAAUAUCUCAGAAUAAUCCAUAGGUAAUCAUACAUUGAGAAUUCAACUAAAAGAACAUAAAAGUUUCAAACAUUCCAAGUUGAGUAUUUAAUCAUGCAAACAUAGGUGUCUUUCCGCAUCUAAGUAACUACCUUUGAUUCAGAAUAUCACAGAGUUUCAUAUCCUCACUAACGAUUCACUCAAAUCACUCGAGGUGUUUAGGGAUAAUAAAUGAAGCACUCAAUAGUCAACGAUGAAAAGUCAUUACCAUAGGCUUACAUGAAAAUCAAAUCUUCACCACUAUAAUUUAAGAUGAUACAUCAAUCAAAAGGUCUUUAGAGGGUUGUAGUGAGGCUUGGUUAGAGGGUGUGGUCACAAACUGAAAGAAAGGGUUAGAAUUGAGGUUGAAUUGAAAAAUUGCCUAACUAGAAAAAGAGUUAAUCUUCACUUGUGUACAACAGAGCUUUUUUUCAGAAUAUGAAAUUAUAGAUAUGUAUACAUAGUUUUUUUUAAGAACAAGUUAAAUAAAAAAACAUAAACUAAUUAUUAAGAACAAGACAUAGCUAAGCAAUUCAUUCAACUUAAAUUUCGACAAAAAUAGGGAUUAAUUUAGGGGAUUGCAACAAUAAUGGGUUAAAGGUUAAUAUUAAGCGUAAUAUAAGAAAUGGUUUGUUAGGCUCAAGGGGGUUUAUUAGGGGUUAAUCAUGGAGGUAGG
rnacentral:lncRNA from 1 species